rnacentral:rRNA from 1 species
CCUACGGGAGGCAGCAGUGAGGAAUAUUGGUCAAUGGUCGGGAGACUGAACCAGCCAAGCCGCGUGAGGGAGGAAGGUACAGAGUAUCGUAAACCUCUUUUGUCAGGGCACAAAGGCGGGGACGUGUCCCCGGAUGAGUGUACCUGAAGAAAAAGCAUCGGCUAACUCCGUGCCAGCAGCCGCGGUAAUACGGAGGAUGUGGGCGUUAUCCGGAUUUAUUGGGUUUAAGGGGUGCGCAGGCGGUCUGUUAAGUCAGCGGUCAAAGCCCGGGGCUCAACCCCGGCCCGCCGUUGAAACUGGCAGUCGCGAGUUGGAGAGAAGUAUGCGGAAUGCGCGGUGUAGCGGUGAAAUGCAUAGAUAUCGCGCAGAACUCCGAUUGCGAAGGCAGCAUGCCGGCUCCACACUGACGCUGAGGCACGAAAGCGUGGGUAUCGAACAGGAUUAGAUACCCGGGUAGUC